UCUGCGACAAUUUACUGUUAGG
rnacentral:miRNA from 1 species